GAGUUUGAUCCUGGCUCAGAACGAACGCUGGCGGCGUGCCUAACACAUGCAAGUCCAACGUGAAAGGGGAGCAAUCCCCCGGUAGGGUGGCAAACGGGUGAGUAAUACAUGGGUGAUCUACCUUAGGGAUGGGGAUAUCCUUCCGAAAGGAGGGGCAAUACCGAAUAUUGUCCGGAGCCAUGAAGGGUUCCGGGGAAAGGGAGGCCUCUGAUACAAGCUUUCGCCUUAAGAUGAGCCCAUGGCCCAUCAGCUAGUUGGUAGGGUAAAGGCCUACCAAGGCUACGACGGGUCGCUGGUCUGAGAGGACGACCAGCCACACUGGCACUGAGAUACGGGCCAGACUCCUACGGGAGGCAGCAGUGAGGAAUAUUGCGCAAUGGGGGAAACCCUGACGCAGCAACGCCGCGUGUGGGAAGAAGGCCUUCGGGUCGUAAACCACUUUUGCACGGGACGAAAAAGGGAUAUCGAACAAAUAUCCCCGAUGACGGUACCGUGAGAAUAAGCCACGGCUAACUCUGUGCCAGCAGCCGCGGUAAUAC
rnacentral:rRNA from 1 species